CGGCGAGCGAAGCGGGAAGAGCUCAAAUUUAUAAUCUGGCACCUUCGGUGUCCGAGUUGUAAUCUCUAGAAAUGUUUUCCGCGUUGGACCGCACACAAGUCUGUUGGAAUACAGCGGCAUAGUGGUGAGACCCCCGUAUAUGGUGCGGACGCCCAGCGCUUUGUGAUACAUUUUCGAAGAGUCGAGUUGUUUGGGAAUGCAGCUCAAAUUGGGUGGUAAAUUCCAUCUAAAGCUAAAUAUUGGCGAGAGACCGAUAGCGAACAAGUACCGUGAGGGAAAGAUGAAAAGCACUUUGGAAAGAGAGUUAACAGUACGUGAAAUUGUUGGAAGGGAAACGCUUGAAGUCAGACUUGCUUGCCGAGCAAUCGGUUUGCAGGCCAGCAUCAGUUUUCCGGGAUGGAUAAUGGUAGAGAGAAGGUAGCAGUUUCGGCUGUGUUAUAGCUCUCUGCUGGAUACAUCUUGGGGGACUGAGGAACGCAGUGUGCCUUUGGCGGGGGUUUCGACCUCUUCACACUUAGGAUGCUGGUGGAAUGGCUUUAAACGACCCGUCUUGAACA
rnacentral:rRNA from 1 species